rnacentral:lncRNA from 1 species
CUCCCGCCUCCCAGCCAACCGGUUCCGUUCCUCCCUUUCCUCACGGAAUGGGGCCGGCGCUGCUCGGGGUCGCGCGCCCUGGACCCGGCUCGCGCUCGGUCUCGCGCUGUCAGCCUCUGCCUGGCUCGCGCCGCCUUGCGCUUUCCCUCAGUCAGUGGCGCCGAAGGCUCCGUUAAGCAGCGGCCGCGGUUCCUGUUUCCGUUUCUUCCUCUCCCUUCAGUCGGGGAGUAGCAUCCUCCACUCCGCCACCCCUCCCACUCGCCCGGCGCGGCCAGCUGCAGUGGCUGUGGCGACGGGGGACGGCGCCGACCGCCUCGCUCCCGCCUCGGGUUGCUGCUCUGGCUUAGGCCAUCUGUGACCCUGGUGGUGUUUUCAUUCACUAUAAGUCCUUCCCAUCUUUAUUAACUGAGCAAGUUCAGGAGGGGUUCUUAACCUGUGGGUAGUGAUCCUUUUGAGAUUGAAUGACCCUUUCACAGGGGUUGCCUAAGUCCAUCAGAAAAAUACAGGGUCAUGCUCUGUAGCUCAGUCUGGCCUGAAACUUACUAUGUUGCCCAAACAAUCCUACCUUAGUCUUUCAAGUGCUGGAAUUAAAGCAUGAGCCAUCAGGCUUUCUGAAAGAUUAAAAAAAAGACUAUUUCUGAUGUGGUAUGGUGAGGGAUAGAACCCAUCACUACCCUUGACAGGGUUUCCUGUAGCCCAGGCUACAGAAUUCCCGAUAUAGUU